rnacentral:rRNA from 1 species
GACGAACGCUGGCGGCGUGCUUAACACAUGCAAGUCGAGCGGUAAGGCCCUUUCGGGGGUACACGAGCGGCGAACGGGUGAGUAACACGUGGGUGACCUGCCCUCAGCUCUGGGAUAAGCCUGGGAAACCGGGUCUAAUACCGGAUAUGACUCCAUGACGCAUGUUGUGGGGUGGAAAGCCUUGUGCGGCUGAGGAUGGGCCCGCGGCCUAUCAGCUUGUUGGUGGGGUGAUGGCCUACCAAGGCGACGACGGGUAGCCGGCCUGAGAGGGCGACCGGCCACACUGGGGCUGAGACACGGCCCAGACUCCUACGGGAGGCAGCAGUGGGGAAUCUUGCGCAAUGGGCGAAAGCCUGACGCAGCGACGCCGCGUGAGGGAUGACGGCCUGG